AGUGAACGCUGGCGGUAGGCCUAACACAUGCAAGUCGAACGGCAGCACAGUAAGAGCUUGCUCUUACGGGUGGCGAGUGGCGGACGGGUGAGGAAUACAUCGGAAUCUACUUUUUCGUGGGGGAUAACGUAGGGAAACUUACGCUAAUACCGCAUACGACCUACGGGUGAAAGCAGGGGAUUUUCGGACCUUGCGCGAUUGAAUGAGCCGAUGUCGGAUUAGCUAGUUGGCGGGGUAAAGGCCCACCAAGGCGACGAUCCGUAGCUGGUCUGAGAGGAUGAUCAGCCACACUGGAACUGAGACACGGUCCAGACUCCUACGGGAGGCAGCAGUGGGGAAUAUUGGACAAUGGGCGCAAGCCUGAUCCAGCCAUACCGCGUGGGUGAAGAAGGCCUUCGGGUUGUAAAGCCCUUUUGUUGGGAAAGAAAAGCAGCAGGUUAAUACCCCGCUGUUCCGACGGUACCCAAAGAAUAAGCACCGGCUAACUUCGUG
rnacentral:rRNA from 1 species